rnacentral:rRNA from 1 species
UACGUAGGUGGCAAGCGUUGUCCGGAUUUACUGGGCGUAAAGCGAACGCAGGCUGGAAAAUAAGUUUGAAGUGAAAGGUUGGAGCUCAACUCCGACACGGCUUUGGAAACUGUUUUUCUUGAGUACUGGAGAGGAAAGCGGAACGACACGUGUAGCGGUGAAAUGCGUUGAUAUGUGUCGGAACACCGAUGGCGAAAGCAGCUUUCUGGACAGAGACUGACGCUGAGGUUCGAAAGCCAAGGGAGCGAACAGG